CAGCUGCCCCCUCCGCCUCUCUUGCAGCUACCGGUGGAAAGGCGCCGUCGAGGAGGACGCUGAGGUGCUGCUGAUGAUCAAAACACGGAGCUCCCGGGUCUCGGCAUUGGCAGAGUUUGUCUGGUCGGUACACCCCUACGAAUUGGCCGAGGUGAUCUCCGUCCCCAUCCAGCAAGGGAACCCCCCCUAUUUCCGAUGGGUGGAAGAGGCCGUGGACCCCGAGUGACGGGCCCUUGACCCGCCUGGGCCCACAAUAAAAGUCCCCCCGCCCCGGGGCGGGGCAGUGCCAGGC